rnacentral:lncRNA from 1 species
AUGCAUUUAAAUGAGCUGCUGAUAUAUGGAGCAGGAACAAAAAAACAGAAGAUUGACCAAGAGGACAAGGUGGGGGAAUCAAAUGAAAAUACGAAUGGAGUUGUAGAGAGAGGCACUGCGUCCAUAGCUGUUAGUGAGCAUCCUGUUUACAGCUGAUAUCCUUACAGACCUGAAGGCAUUGUACUUCCCACAUCACAGCAGCAGACGUGUGCAUGCACUAACAUCCUGUGUGGAAAGCAUUUGAGUUUCUAACAUCACAACACUGUGUUCUAUGAAUAAUUGGGAGAAUUCCUUCACAGGAGCUCAAACAAUUGGCCAUCACACCUUUUUGAAGUCCUGGUUUUCAAAGGCUUUCCCAAUCAAGGAACAAUAGAGGCUAGAAUUUUCACACAAUCAUUUAAUGCUACGAUGUGGACAAGCACAAUAGCUGUUUUGUGGCAAAUUAACAUCCGCACCAUGUAAGAGCCUUUGGUGGAGAUCUGAAGGGAAUGGAAAAAGAAGGAGAGGCAGUGAUCUAACUUUACCGCUCCUCAUUUUUUUCCAAACCUAGUGGUAGAAAUCCCUACGUUCUUGUAGCA